UCUGGUGACAAUGGCAAGGAGGUCACACCUGUUCCCAUGCCGAACACAGAAGUUAAGCUCCUUAGCGCCGAUGGUAGUUGGACUG
rnacentral:rRNA from 1 species